GUAUUAUAUCCCUUACAGACCUAAAGACUUUGACUCUGAGAGAGGGUUGAGUCUCGGUGGAGAGGGCAGUGCUUUUGAACAGCAGGCCUCUUCAGCUGUCCUUGAUCUCAUGGGAGAUGAAGGCGAUCGCCUUAACCAGCAGAAGAAAAUGAUGAAAUGGGACCGUAAGAGGAAGCGUUUUGUGAGAGAAACGGGAAAAGAAGACCAGAAGAAGAAGAUCAAAACAGACAGCGGUCAGGUUAUCAGUAACAAGAAGAACAGGAAGAAC